UACGUAGGGGGCAAGCGUUGUCCGGAAUCAUUGGGCGUAAAGCGCGCGUAGGUGGCCUCAUAAGUCCGCUGUGAAAGUCAAAGGCUCAACCUUUGAAAGCCGGUGGAUACUGUGAGGCUAGAGUACGGAAGAGGCGAGUGGAAUUCCUGGUGUAGCGGUGAAAUGCGCAGAUAUCAGGAGGAACACCGGUGGCGAAGGCGGGUCUCUGGGCCGAUACUGACGCUGAGGAGCGAAAGCGUGGGGAGCGAACAGG
rnacentral:rRNA from 1 species